rnacentral:lncRNA from 1 species
GACAUGUCUGUACAACACACUAACAGCAAAUUCAGUUAGCAGUUAGCACCGGACAACUCCAGGAUACAAAAUUCAGUAAAAUGAAAAUAGAGACAGCAUCAAUAAAGUGUUUAAUCUGCAGAAUUUAGUACCGAAAAUGAACUGAAGAAGAGUUGAACUGGGGCAUUCGUUAUACAAUCAAUUAGAAAAUAAAAUCAAAAUGAAUUGAACAAUGUACAAACUUUGAGCAUUAGUAACUCAAAUUUGGCAACAACAAUCUGUUCUUACAU